rnacentral:rRNA from 1 species
AUUGAACGCUGGCGGCAGGCUUAACACAUGCAAGUCGAGCGGGGAAGGGUAGCUUGCUACUUGACCUAGCGGCGGACGGGUGAGUAAUGCUUAGGAAUCUGCCUAUUAGUGGGGGACAACAUUCCGAGAGGAAUGCUAAUACCGCAUACGCCCUACGGGGGAAAGCAGGGGAUCUUCGGACCUUGCGCUAAUAGAUGAGCCUAAGUCAGAUUAGCUAGUUGGUGGGGUAAAGGCCUACCAAGGCGACGCUCUGUAGCGGGUCUGAGAGGAUGAUCCGCCGCACUGGGACUGAGACACGGCGCAAACUCCUACGGGAGGCAGCAGUGAGGAAUAUAGAACAAUGGGCGAAAGCCUGAUCCAGGCAUGCCUGGUGUGUAAAGAAGGCCUUUUGGUUGUAAAGCACAUCAAGCGAGGAGGAGGCAACCGGGAUUAAUGCUCUUGGAUAGUGUACGUUACUCGCAGAAUAAGCACCGGCUAACUGUGUGCCAGCCGCCGCAGUAAGAC